rnacentral:misc_RNA from 1 species
AACUUUUGGCAACGGAUCUCUUGGCUCUCGCAACGAUGAAGAACGCAGCGAAAUGCGAUAUGUAGUGUGAAUUGCAGAAUUCAGUGAAUCAUCGAAUCUUUGAACGCACAUUGCGCUCUCUGGUAUUCCGGGGAGCAUGCUCGUUUCAGCAUCAUCACAAUCUCGAAGACAUCCUUUGCUUGUUUUUCAGGCUGAGGCUGUUUUUCGGAUGUGGGCUUUUUUUUUCCUUUCUGGAAAAUGGCCUGAAAAUGAUAGCCGUUCGCCUCCGGUCGUGAGAUCGGUCGUCACCAAGUGCAACAGAUUUUUGUUUUCUCUUGGACGAUUGAUUGCUACGCUGGAAUAGGCAUGAGCGCACCAGGACAUAGCACAGGGAGGGAUCGGAAGAUCUCUCUCUGAAGACUUGAUCUGAAAUCGGGCAAGAAAACCCGCUGAACUUAAGCAUAUCAAUAAGCGGAGGAAAAGAAACUAACAAGGAUUCCCCUAGUAACGGCGAGUGAAGCGGGAACAGCUCAAAUUUGAAAUCUCACUUGGAAACUUGUGAAGAAUUGUAGUUUAGAGAAACGUACGUCGGGGGCAGCGUGGGUAUAAGUCCUUUGGAAAGAGGCAUCAUAGAGGGUGAGAAUCCCGUUUAUGAUCCACAGUCUGCUUCUAUGUGACACGUUUUCAAAGAGUCAGGUAGUUUGGGAUUGCUGCCUAAAAUGGGUGGUAAAUACCAUCUAAAGCUAAAUAUUGGCGAGAGACCGAUAGCGAACAAGUACCGUGAGGGAAAGAUGAAAAGAACUUUGAAAAGAGAGUUAAACAGUACGUGAAAUUGCCAAAAGGGAA